rnacentral:rRNA from 1 species
GACGAACGCUGGCGGCGUGCUUAACACAUGCAAGUCGAACGGUGAUGCUCCAGCUUGCUGGAGUGGAUCAGUGGCGAACGGGUGAGUAACACGUGAGCAACCUGCCCCAGACUCUGGAAUAAGCGCUGGAAACGGCGGCUAAUACUGGAUACGAACCUGGCCCGCAUGGGCAUGGUUUGGAAAGUUUGGCGGUUUGGGAUGGGCUCGCGGCCUAUCAGCUUGUUGGUGGGGUAGUGGCUUACCAAGGCGGUGACGGGUAGCCGGCCUGAGAGGGCGACCGGCCACAUUGGGACUGAGAGACGGCCCAGACUCCUACGGGAGGCAGCAGUGGGGAAUAUUGCACAAUGGGCGGAAGCCUGAUGCAGCAACGCCGCGUGCGGGAUGACGGCCUUCGGGUUGUAAACCGCUUUCGCCUGGGAAGAAGCGUGAGUGACGGUAAUGGGUAAAGAAGCACCGGCUAACUACGUG